rnacentral:lncRNA from 1 species
AGAGAAGCCAUUAAAAAGAAGGUUUCGGUGAGGUUCGAGUGCAUUCGGGUGUUUUCGGGGCACGUUGGGUGCAAAAACAGAACCCAAAAAGCUAUAUUGGACUUUAGCCGGAAUCCGACAAAGCAUGGAUGAAAAGAUGGUUUAGACACGCUCGAAAACAUGUUUUGGGGGUCUCUGUGCGAUUUGAAAAGAAUCGGAAACCAAACGAGCGAAAACGAGCGAAAACGGAGUGAAAACGGAAGAAGGCUGAAAAAUUGGCUUAGUAUGGAAAUGCUGGAAUUCUGGACCUACGGGGAU